UCCUUUGUAGCUCAGUUGGUAAAGAAUCUGCCUGCAGUACAGAAGACUCAGGUUCGAUUCCUGGGUUGGGAA
rfam:TPA: Bos taurus chromosome 3, whole genome shotgun sequence.